GCCUACGGGGCGCAGCAGUGGGGAAUAUUGGGCAAUGGGCGCAAGCCCGACCCAGCAACUCCGCGUUCCUUCCUCCGUCUUUCGGUUUGUAAACUUCUUUUAUUCGGGACGAAGAAAGUGACGGUACCGAAUGAAUAAGCCACGGCUAACUACGUGCCAGCAGCCGCGGUAAUACGUAGGUGGCAAGCGUUAUCCGGAUUUAUUGGGUGUAAAGGGCGUGUAGGCUGGAAUUCAAGUCAGAUGUGAAAACUCAGGGCUCAACCCUGAGCCUGCAUUUGAAAAUGUAUUUCUUGAGAGCUGGAGAG
rnacentral:rRNA from 1 species